CUGCGCCCCUUCCCCCUUCCUCCCAGGAAUGUUGGAGGCAGCCGCGAUCUCAUCAAGGGAAGGUUACUUGACUGGGAGUUCUCAGACCUCCAGUUUCAGCCCUGCCCUCAGCCUCCAGUCGUUGAGAGAGAGACACCCAGCCCCAGCAAUCGGAUUGGGCAGCCCGCCUUGACACACCACUGUGCUGAGUGCUUGAAGACGUGUUUCACCAGAUGGUUGGGGUUAGCGUGUGUCAUCACAUUCGAGUGGGGAUUAGGAGUAGGAAGGCUGCCUUGCCGGAGCUGUGUGGUCUUCUCCAAGGGAGAAUUGCGGGCAAGAGAACUCCUUUGCUCCGGGGAGAAGAGGAGGAAUUCGUUUUCCGCAGCCAAGAGAAAAGCAGUGUUUUCAGGUGCUGACGGCCAGCCCCAUCAUCUGAGGGAGGUGAAUUUGGCAAAUGACAUGCAGGUUCUCCAAGACAGAGUAAUCACAGAAAAUUGUCAAAGUAAACUAUUUCUGCUAACUUCUACAAUACCUUAAGAUACUUCAACACAGUUAAGGU
rnacentral:lncRNA from 1 species